rnacentral:rRNA from 1 species
UCGAGAAUAGUCUACAAUGGACGAAAGUCUGAUAGUGCGACGCCGCGUGAACGAAGAAGCCCUUCGGGGUGUAAAGUUCUUUUAUAUAUGAGCAAUGCCAUUUAUGUGAAUAGCAUGAGUGGAGAGAUAUUAGUAUAUGAAUAAGCAACGGCUAACUCCGUGCCAGCAGCCGCGGUAACACGGGGGUUGCAAGCGUUGUCCGGAAUUACUAGGCGUAAAGGGCAGGUAGGCGGAUCUAUAAGUUUGAUGUUAAAGGCAGUGGCUCACCCAUUGUACGGCAUGAGAUACUGGAGAGCUGGAAUACGGUGGGGGAAGACAGAAUUCCUGGUGUAGCGGUGGAAUGCGAAGAGAUCAGGAGGAAUACCAAAGGCGAAGGCAGUCUUCUAAGCCGUUAUUGACGCUAAACGGCGAAGGUGUGGGUAUCAAACA